CCCUGGCUAUUCCCUCUUUUGAUCACAACCAACAUCGUUAUCAUCUUCAUUAGAACCAAACCUUCAUUUUCGUCGAAGAAGUCGUUAUCAUCUUCAUUAGAACCAAACCUUCAUUUUCGUCGAAGAAGAACCAGCAAAUGAAUUGUUUCUUCUCCAUUUUUGUUUCACUUUUAUGAAGUAAACCCUAGAUUCAGUUUUUUUUUCUUCCUCUUCAAAAUCUCUAACCCGAUUCUAAUCUAAGUUGAUAGAUGCUCACCAUGUUAUAAUCUAGAUUACCCAUAGCAUGUUUUCAUUCUCAAAUCAUCUACGAUUUAUAAAUUUUCGACCUAACUACAGAAAUUAGAGUUAAUCGAUUACAAGUGUUUUUCUCUGUUAUUGUGGGUGUUGUUGGCAUGAGAUUUCCCCCAAAAAUUCCUUCUCAUUUUUUAGAAGAUUUCUUUAUAAACCCAGUUUGACAGUCAUUAACUCUUUCAGGUAAUUUGGGGUUUUUUUCUUCAAAUGUCAGAUGUAGAACAAAGAUAUAAACCAAACCUUAGUUUUGAUUGAUUGUUUUUUCCUUUUCAAUUAGAUAUAAAUUCAACCUAUGAUUUGUUUGAUUUUACUGUAAUAAUGUCAAAUUAAUGGUAAAGAUGUCUUAAUUUUGUUUUGGUUGAUGAUAAAAUUUGGUAUUGCAGUAAAAUCAAUGCUAAAGAUUUGAUAUUUGCUGUAAAUGAAUGUGACUAGAAGAUGUCAAUGACUACUACCUUGAAAGCUUGGAGGAAAGUGAUGCAUGAUGUGGCUAAUUUUUUGUUUGUGAUGCAAGGGAGAGAUAUGAUAGGUAGAGAAAGAACUGGUACAUGGAGAAAAUCAUGAAAUUUAAUGAGGCACAUGGAACCAGGAUGAGAUGAUCAAGUUAGGCAGGCUCUCUGAAUCCUACAAGUGAAUUGGAUAGUGUUUUGGACGAACAAUGAAGGAAAAAGGGUUUGGAUCAUUGUGGAGAGGAAACACAUCCAAUGUCAUCCGUUAUUUCCCUACUCAGGUUGGAUCAUAUGUGUUGUCAAUCGAAAGAGUAAAAGGAGGCAGAUUUCGUCUACUCAAUUUAUGAGAAGAAUUCAUCCUCCUGCUGCAUAAGAUUAUCUAAUCUACAAAGAGAAAUCAAAUAUCCAAACAAUGCAACUUAAUGAAGAAGAGAACCACUUGAAAAUGGAGGUUGAAGAACGGAGAGCAGAAAACCCAGGAAGAGGAGGCUGUUGAGGUCGAUGCUGAUUUUACAAAUGGUGUUGUAUUUUGUAAACAGUAAUGAAGCUGAAGAAGAGUGGGGUAUGACUAAUGAAGGAAACUUAUCAUCCUAAAAAAUAUUGGUUUGGCUAAAUAGGUCGCACAUAUGAGCAAUAAGUGCCACUAUUUACAAGGAUGGUUAUGAAGAAACAAGAAGCUAUAUUUUUCUGAAUGAUGUUGAGCUUGUCUCCAGGUCCGGUGCCUUUAAGAUUGUAUCUACUACUGCUAUCACACUUAGAAAAUACUUAUAUACUUGUCAUUCUUUUGAUACUGCAUAGAAUUUGUAUGUCCAUGGAACUUAAGAAAUACUUCUAGCUAUAACUUGUAACUUAAGAAACUUACAUGUAUUGCCUAAGUUGUUGUUCUGUCA